rnacentral:sRNA from 1 species
GCCAUGGAAAUGCAAAUUAAAAAACAGUUUCAGGACACUUGCAAAGUACAGACCAAACAGUAUAAAGCACUCAAGAAUCACCAGUUGGAAGUUACUCCAAAGAAUGAGCACAAAACAAUCUUAAAGACACUGAAAGAUGAGCAGACAAGAAAACUUGCCAUUUUGGCAGAGCAGUAUGAACAGAGUAUAAAUGAAAUGAUGGCCUCUCAAGCGUUACGGCUAGAUGAGGCUCAAGAAGCAGAAUGCCAGGCCUUGAGGCUACAGCUCCAGCAGGAAAUGGAGCUGCUCAACGCCUACCAGAGCAAAAUCAAGAUGCAAACAGAGGCACAACAUGAACGUGAGCUCCAGAAGCUAGAGCAGAGAGUGUCUCUGCGCAGAGCACAUCUUGAGCAGAAGAUUGAAGAGGAGCUGGCUGCCCUUCAGAAGGAACGCAGCGAGAGAAUAAAGAACCUAUUGGAAAGUAUUUGGAGUUCAACACUGUCUCUCAAUCAGAUCAUCUUGAUCUUUUUCUUUAUCUCCCUUCCCCUUCCUAAGUCCCAUUUCUUGGUCAUAAAUAUUGCAUUAUUCACACUUUCAAACUGUGUAUUUUCUUACAAU